CACCCGCCGCGCCCCGCCCCGCUGCCGCCGCCACCAUUGGCCAGGCGGGAAGUCGGUCUCCCAGCUCAUUCUGCGCCCGCGGGAGUGCGGGGGAAACUUCAUUAUUACUGUGACGCUGAAGGCCGGGGAGGCCCGAGCUGCCUGAGGGCUGCGACCGCGGGGUCGGCGCUGCGGACCCGGGUGCAGGUGCGGGCGGGGCGGGGAUCUCAGGGCACCGAGCCCGCCGCACCCGCGGAGGAGGGGGCUGGGCUGUCCGCAGCUCCCUGUCGCCGAGGCGCCUCCCGGCUCUGCUUAGCCGCUUAGCCGCGGGCGGCGGGUGACCUCCCUGCGUGAAGAGCAUCGCGGCGCCGCGGCAGGGGAAUUCGCGUUGCGGCUGGCCGCGGGCUCCUCCCACCCAGCUGGCGGGCGGGGCUCGGGGACCUGGUGUCUGGUGCAGACGCCGCUGCGGCCGAGCCGACGGCUGGACCCUGGAGCAGAAAAACAAAAUCGGUGGCUUACUCCAGUUUUGACCCCAUCUGAGAAGUUAAACUGCAGGAAUCAAAUUAGAUGCAAAACUCCUUUGUCGUGAAAAAUAGAAGCAUGGUUCACUGUUAGCCAGUUGGACUUGUUCAGCUAUAUGAGACCCUGAAGGAUAAGAACAAUGUUAUGUUGGGGGUAUUGGUCUCUGGGCCAACCAGGCAUCAGCUCCAACCUGCAAGGAAUCGUGGCUGAGCCCCAGGUGUGCCGCUUUGUAUCGGACAGAAGCAUCAAGGAAGUGGCGUGCGGAGGAAACCACUCCGUGUUCCUGCUGGAGGACGGGGAGGUUUACACGUGUGGAGUAAACACCAAGGGGCAGCUUGGCCAUGAGAGGGAAGGUAACAAGCCAGAACAAAUUGGAGCAUUAGCUGAUCAGCAUAUCAUACACGUGGCAUGUGGCGAGUCACACAGUCUGGCUCUCAGUGACCGGGGUCAGCUGUUUUCUUGGGGUGCAGGAAGUGAUGGCCAACUGGGCCUCAUGACUACUGAGGAUUCCGUGGCUGUGCCCAGGCUAAUCCAGAAACUGAACCAGCAGACCAUAUUACAAGUUUCCUGUGGCAACUGGCACUGCUUGGCUCUGGCAGCUGAUGGCCAGUUCUUCACAUGGGGGAAGAACAGCCAUGGACAGCUGGGACUGGGGAAGGAGUUCCCCUCCCAAACCAGCCCACAGAGGGUGAGAUCUUUGGAAGGGAUCCCGCUGGCUCAGGUGGCUGCAGGAGGGGCUCAUAGCUUUGCCCUGUCUCUCUCGGGAGCUGUUUUUGGCUGGGGAAUGAAUAAUGCAGGGCAGCUAGGGCUCAGUGAUGAAAAAGACCGGGAGUCUCCAUGCCACGUGAAGCUUUUACGCACACAGAAAGUCGUCUAUAUUAGUUGUGGAGAGGAGCACACAGCAGUUCUCACAAAGAGUGGGGGCGUGUUUACCUUUGGUGCUGGCUCCUGUGGGCAGCUUGGACAUGACUCGGUGAAUGAUGAAGUUAAUCCGAGAAGAGUCCUGGAGCUGAUGGGCAGUGAAGUAACUCAGAUUGCUUGUGGCAGACAGCACACUCUAGCCCUUGUGCCUUCUUCUGGACUCAUCUAUGCAUUUGGUUGUGGAGCUAAAGGUCAGCUGGGAACCGGACAUACAUGUAAUGUCAAGUGCCCAUCUCCUGUGAAGGGCCACUGGGCUGCCCACAGCAGUCAGCUUUCAGCUCGCGCCGAUCGCUUUAAGUAUCGUGUCGUUAAGCAGAUCUUCUCUGGAGGGGACCAGACUUUUGUACUUUGCUCCACGUAUGAGAAUUCUUCUCCUGCUGUUGACUUCAGAACUGUGAACCAAACACAUUAUACCAACUUAAUAAAUGAUGAAACCAUAGCAGUUUGGAGACAAAAACUCACAGAACACAACAACGCAAAUACUGUCAAUGGUGUUGUUCAGAUACUGUCUUCUGCAGCUUGUUGGAAUGGAAGCUUUCUGGAAAAAAAAAUUGAUGAACAUUUUAAAACUAGUCCCAAAAUCCCCGGGAUUGACCUGAACUCAACUAGGAUUUUAUUUGAGAAGUUAAUGCACUCUCAGCACUCCAUGAUUCUAGAACAGAUAUUAAACAGCUUUGAAAGUUGCCUCAUUCCCCAGUUAUCAAGUUCACCCCCAGAUGUGGAAGCAAUGAGAAUCUAUUUAAUCCUACCGGAGUUUCCGCUGCUUCAGGACUCUAAGUAUUACAUAACGCUGACCAUUCCCCUGGCAAUGGCCAUUCUGCGGCUGGAAACAAACCCUAGCAAAGUAUUAGAUAACUGGUGGUCUCAGGCAUGCCCCAAAUAUUUCAUGAAGCUGGUAACCCUGUAUAAAGGUGCCGUCCUUUACCUCCUAAGGGGAAGGAAGACAUUCCUAAUCCCGGUACUGUUUAACAACUACAUGACUGCAACCCUCAAGCUUCUGGAGAAGUUGUACAAGGUAAAUCUUAAGGUGAAGCAUGUGGAAUACGAUAAGUUUUAUAUCCCUGAGAUUUCUAGUCUUGUGGACAUUCAGGAAGACUACCUCAUGUGGUUUUUGCAUCAAUCUGGGAUGAAGGCUAGACCCUCUAUCAUGCAGGAUGCUGUAACCCUUUGUUCCUAUCCUUUCAUCUUUGAUGCCCAAGCUAAGACCAAGAUGCUGCAGACUGAUGCCGAGUUACAGAUGCAGGUGGCAGUCAAUGGAGCCAACCUGCAGAAUGUCUUCAUGCUUCUUACCCUGGAGCCUCUGCUGGCCAGAAGCCCCUUCCUGGUCCUCCAUGUCCGUAGGAACCACCUUGUUGGAGAUGCCCUGAGAGAGCUGAGCAUUCACUCUGACAUUGACUUGAAGAAGCCUCUCAAAGUAAUCUUUGAUGGGGAAGAAGGAGUAGAUGCUGGUGGUGUUACGAAGGAGUUCUUUCUUUUGCUAUUAAAAGAACUUUUGAAUCCCAUUUAUGGGAUGUUUACCUACUAUCAAGAUUCAAAUCUCUUGUGGUUUUCAGAUACAUGUUUUGUAGAGCACAACUGGUUUCACUUGAUUGGCAUAACCUGUGGAUUAGCUAUCUACAACUCCACUGUGGUUGACCUCCACUUCCCGUUGGCUCUCUACAAGAAGUUACUGAAUGUAAAGCCCAGCUUGGAAGAUUUGAAGGAACUGUCACCAACUGAAGGAAGGAGUCUUCAAGAGCUUCUAGAUUACCCCGGUGAAGACAUCGAGGAGACCUUUUGCCUCAACUUCACGGUGUGCCGAGAAAGCUAUGGGGUGAUAGAACAGAAGAAGUUGAUACCCGGGGGAGACAGAGUGGCCGUGUGCAAAGACAACAGAGAACAGAAAUGCAGGAGAACCAUUUUCCUUCACCUUUGCAGACCCACAGUGCGUGCCUGUAUCUGCGCAGACCAUCUUUGGCUCUUAGAGCACAGUUAGACAUCUCUGUUAAACCUAUAUCCUCGUGGCAAAUUGUUCCGGGAGGGACCUUGGCAUUGAUUCUGCAAGAAUUCGUGGACGCUUAUGUGAAUUACAUCUUCCAAAUUUCGGUUCACGAGUGGUACACAGCCUUCUCCAGUGGCUUCCUAAAGGUGUGUGGUGGCAAAGUCCUCGAGCUCUUCCAGCCUGCAGAACUGAGGGCCAUGAUGGUGGGGAACAGCAACUAUGACUGGGAAGAGCUGGAAGAGACUGCUGUCUACAGGGGUGAUUAUUCAAGCACACAUCCCACUGUGAAACUCUUCUGGGAGACAUUCCACGAGUUCCCAUUGGAGAAGAAGAAGAAGUUUCUUUUGUUCCUAACAGGCAGUGACCGGAUUCCCAUCUAUGGCAUGGCCAGUCUUCAGAUCAUCAUCCAGUCCACAGCCACUGGGGAGGAAUACUUACCCGUGGCCCAUACCUGCUACAACCUUCUUGACCUCCCUAAGUAUAGCAGCAAAGAGAUCAUGAAGGCUCGGCUGACCCAGGCCCUCGACAACUAUGAGGGUUUUAGUUUGGCCUGAGGUACCCCAGCUUACCUAAGACAUCCAUCCCUUCCUUCUUCUGUGGCCACAUUGAGGCUGAAUAAAAUACCAUGGGAAGUGAUUUCUAUUUUUUUAUUGUUUAAGUGGUUUGAAACUUUUGAAUCCUAAACCCUAGUCAAGGUGUUUCUGGGGUUCAAUAGUGAAUAGUCUUUCUGAAAAAAUCAGUGGUUGGGGAUGAGCCAAAAAAAAAAUUGGCUUUGGUAUGGGAAGUGGACUUGAUUUUGUUUUGUUUUGUUUUGUUUUAAACCGAGGUACCUGUUGUUCCUUCAUCUGUGAAUGUGUUGCAAUCUGCUGGAUUUAAUGGCAGUAGGUUUUCAGCUUUUGUUUCCCAGAUGUCCCUCAGUCCUGAUGUUUCUUCACCAUGCUUUGCUGCUCUCUUCCUGGCCUCUCAGUCCCUACAGGGGUGACUUGAUGGAUAUGUCCCUUCUUGCCCGCCAUGCAGAACAUUUCCUACUCCUCAGCACUGGAAAUGCAUGGCUUGUUGCAGCCCAGCCCAGCCCACAGAUGGAACUCCCAAGACAAAGAAGCUGAGCCUUGUCAUAGCUCUUGAGUCUUUGUGGGAACCUUUAUGAACAUGUCCUGCUUUAAGGAAAUAGGUCAUGAGUGCCUACUGCCUGGGCCUCCUGAAACACACAUACACAAGAGCCGCAGGUUGCAGGCGGGCUGCAUGUGUCUUGUUAGCCAUGACCCGUGGAUUUACAGUGAAUUGGUAGACCUUCUUUAUCAUACUUUUGAAAUGCAAGUUGCAUUUUCUUGUUUCCAUAUUGCCUAAGAACAGUACAAUUAAUAAAGGUUUCCCCUUCUUUAUUCCUUUCUAGCUCCUGCUCUCUUCCUUCCCUUUCUUCUUGUGCUCCCCUCUCCUCCCUUCCUCUUGCUCUCCUACUCUUCCUUGUCUUUGCUGCUUGACUCCGUUCCCCUCUUCCUUCUGGUAGUGGAUGCAUGCUGUCUUUUUUAUUUUAAAUUUUGUAAGUUUUUUUUUAAACCUCUGUCUCUAACUGUGAAAAUAUGAAGAUACUCUUUAUAAUAGAGUUUUUGUUUUAUCACAUGUGAAGUGUGCAUUUACAGUGAAAUUUCAGCAGGGGGAUUAUGUUAAGUCAAAUGCGUGUGUCUCAAAAGUGACAUGUUUAACUGCUCAUCACUGUAUAAGAAAAUUCUACAUGGUCAAAGAGUUCAUGUAAUUCUAAUUUUAAAUCUGUAGUAGAUAGAGAAAGUAUUUAUUUAUCUAAAAUGAAGUACUUAUAGAUUGUGAUGCAGCACCGAGUCUUGAUGAAGGAAUGUAGAUUUUUGCUUUUCCUGUUUUUGUUUUGAAAAGUUACUCCAAUUGCUAAAUUGGUAGUUUUUUUGUCCUUAUAAAUAUAACAUUUAAAAAAGAUACACAAUUAUAUAAAAUGUUUAUUUUCUAUGUGUCUGCAUAUAGUUCAAUAUUAUCCAAUAAAUUUGGUGUUUUAACUUAAAA